rnacentral:rRNA from 1 species
UACGGAGGGAGCUAGCGUUGUUCGGAAUUACUGGGCGUAAAGCGCGCGUAGGCGGUUUUUUAAGUCAGAGGUGAAAGCCCAGUGCUCAACACUGGAACUGCCUUUGAAACUGGAAAACUUGAAUCUUGGAGAGGUCAGUGGAAUUCCGAGUGUAGAGGUGAAAUUCGCAGAUAUUCGGAAGAACACCAGUGGCGAAGGCGACUGACUGGACAAGUAUUGACGCUGAGGUGCGAAAGCGUGGGGAGCAAACAGG